CAUGUACUCCCUCCAUCCCAAAAUAUUUGUAGGAGAAAUGGAUAAAAAUGGAUGUAUCUAGAACUAAAAUACGUCUAGGUACAUCUAUUUCUUUACAAGUAUUUUCGGACGAAGGGCGCAGAUG
rfam:Triticum aestivum genome assembly, contig: Triticum_aestivum_CS42_TGACv1_scaffold_049967_1BS